GGUGACGUGGUGCAGUCGGUGAGCACAUCCUCCCUACGUGAGGAAGACCUUGGUUCAAAUCCAAGCGUCGCCA
rnacentral:tRNA from 1 species